ACCUGGCUGGCUCAGUUGGUGGAGCAUGCAACUUUUGAUCGUGGGGUUGUGGGUCUGAGCCCCACAUUGGGUA
rnacentral:tRNA from 1 species